AACUUUUCAACCACCCUGUAUACUAUAGAGAAGGCAAAGACUUAAAAAAAACUUCAUUCACAUUCUUUGAUUUCCCCAAAAAUUUUAUAAGCGGAUUUCAUCAGAGUUUGACCCCUGCGGACUCGAAAAUAACAGAAUUGAGCAUAUUGAGUGUUAUAUUUGCAUAUAAUUUAAAGAUAUUCUGCAUAUAUUUGGUAUCAAUGCAUAAAGCGGAAGUUAAAGAGGAACGUCAAACGAAUACGUCAAAAUCUACAGGAACAGGAAGUUUUAGCAGAGGAUGUAAAUUAAUGUUCUUUUAAGUUCUCUGAUUGGAAGGCCUUAUCAAAUUGAGAUUAAAUAAUAACGCUUCAGCAAUGUUCAGAUACAUACAUACAUACGUAAAUGCAAAAUUCCGCUUUCUUCCUUAAUUCUUAUACUACAUAC